GUCUCCCACAGUAUUCUUGUCAGCAAGUUAAGGAAGUAUGGGCUGGAUGAAUGCACUAUAAGAUCUUAAUGAAACAAAGAAGGCAUAAAGCUUAAUGGGCAUUACAGCAGAGCACAUAGAACCACCUACUGCUAUUCAUUUCCAAGGACCCCUCACUGAAUAUAAUGAUGAGACAAGAGCCAGGUGCAAGUGUGUAACUUUUUCACUCAUUCUGUUUGAUAAAAGAGUAAGAAAACAAUUUUUGGUAGAUAUUAAAAUUUCAUGUGGUUCAAUUCA